rnacentral:tRNA from 1 species
CGGGGAAUAGCUCAAUGGUGGAGCGCUCGGUUUGGAACCGAGAGGUUCCUGGUUCAAGUCCAGGUUCUCCGACC